rnacentral:tRNA from 1 species
CGGGCUGUGGCGCAGUUUGGUAGCGCACUACGCUGGGGGUGUAGGGGUCGCUGGUUCAAAUCCAGUCAGCCCGACCA